rnacentral:lncRNA from 1 species
GGCUUCCUGAUCCUAGGUGUUAUGUUGAGUGUUGUUCUUUGGUCUCUAGGAACUCUGAGCAGCAGCAGGGCACCUAUAGAGCUGCUGACUUGGAUUGUCCUGUGGCCAUAUUCACUGUCAUCUUGAUAUUACUGGUGAACCUGAUGCACAGGCUCCAAUGCUGGACGUCUCGCUACCCACCGGGCCCCGUGCCAUGGCUUGUGCUGGGUAACCUGCUGCAGGCAGACCUACAUAACAUGACAUACAACUUAUACAAGCCUUCAGAUGAGAUGAAGAACUUACAGCUCUACCUGUACCAUGCCUGCCCAGAUACUGCCAUGCUCCCAUCUUGAUGAUAAUGGACUAAACCACAGAACCUGUAAGCCAGCCCCGAUUAAAUGUGGUUCUUUAUAAGA